rnacentral:rRNA from 1 species
GUCCACGCCGUAAACGAUGAUAACUAGCUGUCCGGGCUCAUGGAGUCUGGGUGGCGCAGCUAACGCAUUAAGUUAUCCGCCUGGGGAGUACGGUCGCAAGAUUAAAACUCAAAAGGAAUUGACGGGGGGCCUGCACAAGCGGUGGAGCAUGUGGUUUAAUUCGAAGCAACGCGCAGAACCUUACCAGCUUUUGACAUCCCGAUCGCGAUUACCAGAGAUGGUUUUCUCAGUUCGGCUGGAUCGGUGACAGGUGCUGCAUGGCUGUCGU